ACUACCUUGCACGAAAAUACAAAUUUACUUAAAACGCAUCGACAGCAAAAAAGGAGAGACGAACGGACGGUUCUGUUAGAUGUCAAGGAUUCGCCUACAUCAAUUCUACAUACACUCUGUCGUAUUUGCCUGGGUGUUUGAUCCGUUUAGGCAGAUUUUAUUAUUUUAACACUGACCGUCAUUUGGGACCACGGAAACAGGUGAAGACUGAGAAGGAAGGAAGACUGAAAAGAAAGCGAUACAGUAGUAGACGUGAGUGCGUGCUAUAGAAAGGGAGGGAGAGGUGAUUCCCUGCGGUUCCUUGUGCUUGGUCGGAUUGGGCUGUACUGUUCAGGGAAGAAAACGUUGUUCUCACUCUCCUUUGAAUUAAUUGCAGGGAAUCUUUAAUAAUUACAAAAGAAAAUAUACAGCUGAACGUAGUACUAUUAAAUAUUUGACAAAGCUAAUUUAUUAAUGAGAAAACCUGGAGUAGAGUUUUAUAGCACACAGAAAUGUGUCAAAUUUCAGAAGCGCGGCGGCAUUGGUAGGAACGGGCGCGGGAGGGUAGCGUACUCCAGCACAGAAAAGUCACGCCGUGAGCUGCAGCAUUUAGUGAAAAUAUCUAACAUCAUCCAGGAAGCAGGGCUUCAGGUGGAUGAGACGGACUUGACACCGGGAAGAGUGCCUUCAGUUAAAAAAAUAUCAAAAAUCCCACGUUAUAAUUCCGUUCGUGUGUUAAUGUGUGUGCGCUCAUUGACACGCACACUGCGUACACACGAACCGAGCCAGACCCAAAGCGAGCUCCUCCUCCCCCCUCCCCUUUCCAUCCUAUCUCUCUAUACCUCCCCCUCCCCCCGAUCCUCUAUGCUCAGUUCCGUGUGUGUCUCCUCUUUCAAAGGGCGCAAGGGUGGGAACAAGUCGUCCAACAAAGCAUGUUACAGUGCCGACAUGACUUGUCCAUCAGACAGCGAGAAAAUAGUGAUCAACUGCGGGGGGAUUCGACAUGAAACGUACCGCAGCACACUCAAGACCCUGCCUGGGACACGUCUGUCCUGGCUCACUGAACCAGACGCCUUCAGUAACUUUGAUUAUGACCCCAAAUCAGACGAAUUCUUCUUUGAUCGCCACCCCAACACAUUUGCUUUUAUUCUGAACUAUUAUCGCACGGGGAAGCUGCACUGUCCCGGUGACGUUUGCGGUCCACUCUUCGAAGAGGAGCUCGCUUUCUGGGGCAUUGAUGAGACGGAUGUGGAGGCAUGCUGUUGGAUGAACUACCGACAGCACCGGGAUGCCGAGGAAGCGCUGGACAGCUUCGAGACCCCCGAACCGGAUCCACCAGAGGAAGACCCAGCACUGACGGGUGGUGCUGAUGGGGACUUGAAGCGACUGUGCCUGCAAGAAGAUGGGCGUAAGCCCAGCUGUUGGAGUGUUUGGCAACCCCGCAUCUGGGCACUCUUUGAGGAUCCGUACUCCUCCAAGUAUGCCAGGUAUGUGGCAUUCGGUUCCCUCUUCUUCAUCCUCAUCUCCAUCUCGACGUUCUGCAUGGAGACACAUGAGCUCUUCAACACCAUCCACAACAGGACAGAGAACGUGACGGUGGGCAACGUGACACGGGAGGAGGUGACCUUCGAGGUGGUGACGGACAGAUGGCUAACGUACGUAGAGGGCGUGUGUGUCAUGUGGUUCACCAUCGAGGUGUUCACGCGUGUCAUCUUCUGCCCGGACAAGGCCGAGUUCUUCAAAAGCUCGCUGAACAUCAUUGACUUCGUGGCCAUCCUGCCCUUCUACCUGGAGAUGGGACUGAGCGGCCUCUCCUCCAAAGCGGCAAAGGAUGUGUUGGGCUUCUUGCGUGUGGUGCGCUUCGUCCGGAUCCUGAGGAUCUUCAAGCUGACGCGCCACUUCGUGGGCCUGCGUGUGCUGGGCCACACGCUGCGUGCCAGCACAAACGAGUUCCUCCUCCUCAUUAUCUUCCUCGCCCUGGGCGUGCUCAUCUUCGCCACCAUGAUCUACUACGCUGAGCGCAUCGGUGCAGACCCUGCCGACCCCACGGCCAGCGCCCACACCACCUUCAAGAACAUCCCCAUUGGCUUCUGGUGGGCUGUGGUCACCAUGACAACGCUGGGUUAUGGCGACAUGUACCCGGAGACAUGGUCAGGGAUGCUGGUGGGUGCGCUGUGUGCCCUGGCGGGUGUGCUCACCAUUGCCAUGCCUGUGCCCGUCAUUGUUAACAACUUUGGUUUGUACUACUCACUGGCCAUGGCCAAGCAGAAGCUGCCUAAAAAGAAGAACAAGCACAUUCCACGUGCACCGCAGCCUGGAUCGCCCAACUACUGCAAGCCCGAUGCCCUCGCCAUGGCCACUGCAUCGCCACACAGGAUCAUGGGUAACGUGCUGGGCGGAGAUUGCCCCUUAGCACAGGAGGAGAUCAUAGAGAUCAACCGUGCAGACUCGAAGCAGAAUGGAGAUGCAGCCAAUGCAGCCCUGGCAAAUGAGGACUGUCCCACAAUAGACCAGGUGCUGGGCCCAGAUGACAGGAGCCCAGCUACCGGCGGCCUCGGCUCGGGGAUAGGCCGAGAGCGUUACCCCCAUGACCACGCCUGCUUCCUGCUCAGUACUGGGGAAUUCCGCCCCACAGAGAGCAAUGUCAGGAAAGGAGGGAACAUUGAAUGGAUGCUGGACUGACAGCGGUCAGUGCGAGAAGAAAAAAGGAUGACUAAUUGCAAAACAUGCUGAAAUGGAAAUUGAAAGAGAGAGAGAGAGAGAGAGAGAGAGAGAGAGAGAGAGAGAGAGAGAGAGAGAGAGAUGUACUCCUGGAGAUAUAUUUGAUCAUGUUGAUCUGUUGCACAUUUGGGACUGUGGUGCACAGGUCUAAGACUGUGUCCACACUCGUAGUGGCAUCUUCCCUGCAAUGGCAGCUUAUGGGGCGUUAUCUCCUUUUUUCGUUUAUCCAUCUGAAAGAAUCUGAAGAUAACAGGACAAGACGAUGUUACAGUUGUGUUGAACAAUGUAGAAGACCGUAGCUUUACUCACUUUGUGAUUUUAAGGACAUUUUUGGUCAUCCCGCAGUAGUCUUUUAACUCUUCUAGUUAAUCAGUGAUGUCAUUCCAGUUCAUUUUAACCACUGUUACAUUUGAAAUGAGCUAUAUGAAAUCAUCUUAUUGAAAUUGAUUUUUUUUUUUGUAUUUAUAAGCAUUUUAAACAUUAUUGCUUUUUAUGCUUGUGUAUGGAGAAAGGUUUGUAUUUUACAUUUGCUCUUGUUUCAUCUCCUGUAUGUCUCUCCUUUUAUAUCAAGAUGUAUCAAACUGCUCCUGCUCCUCACUCUCUCCACGGAACACAAGCUCUUCAUUUAGAAUGCAGAAGCCAGUGCGCCCUCUUCUAAAGUACAAAUCCAAUAUAACUAACCAGUAGGGAAAAACAUAUGAGUGUAGUUUUUAUGAUCAAAGGCCUCCUGCACUGAAUGAUGCCUGCACACACAUACAAAAAAAACCAAAACCUAUAGUUCAUGCCUGCAUGGCAUAGUAGCAUGUAAUGUGCAAUUCUUGUCACAAUUCUUGUUUAUUGUUAAUUAUGAAGUGCAGUGAAAGACCUCAUAAGGUUUCAGUCCAGCAGGAUCGAUGAAGCUCUCCAUAGUCUUCGGUCCAGAGGGAUCAGUGAGAGACUCAGCAGACUCUCAGCGGAGACAGACUUUAUCAACGUGAAAAGAGUAGAAUCAGUGAACAGAGGAAACACUCGUGUCCAACAGGUUGGAGAUUCUUCAAGGUGGAAUCUUUUCUCUGUUCAGCAUCUUCCUUUUUUGUUUUGGCCAGUGUACUUAAUUUUGGACUUUAGGAAUGUUCAAAAAUGUGUGUUUUUCUUUGCCUUUAGAAUAGUUUAAAAAUUAAAGCUUGUGUAAAGGAAGAGAGUGAUGGUGAAAAGAAGAGAGGCAGAGGUUAGUGGUCGAGCGAAUCCCUGUGAGCUUCAGGCAGACGUCUCUGAGCCCAGCGGUUGCCCUUCUCUCUGCUUCUCUACCCUCUCUGUCCCCAUCCACAUCAUUCUUCCUUUUCUGUGACCUUCACUGCUCUGUGCAUACUGCAUUAGAGGUUUAUUCCUCAGGCCUAAGUCAGGUCUUAGUGACGUGUACAGUUUUAAAGAAUAACUUUGUACUUCAAGAAUGCAUGGUUUUCCCUUGCAAGCAAUAAGAAUUGUGUCUAUAUGUUAAUUAUGAAGAAGUGUUUUGAUAGGAAUACUGAUCUUGUCUAAAGCUUUAUGUAUGUCUUUAUACAUAUGGGUGUGUACAUAUGGAUGUAUAAAUAUUCAUAUGCACAUACAUAUCUAUGAUUUGCAUGAUGGAGGGUUUUGACAAAAAUGAUUGGUUUUUUGUAGCCAAUUAUUUGUUGUUCUGAUUAGAUUGCUGAAGGGGUGGGGCUUAGUUUUGCAUGCUAAGACGCUAUUGGGUGGAAGAGACCAUUGUAACUGUAAAAAAGUGGGUUGUUCUUUUUAUUGAAUAAGGUUUUAUUGGGAUAUGUUGAACUCUGUAAACAUGCUCUGUUUUAUUUUAAUUUUCUCUGUUAGACUACUCAGUAGUCUUGUAAUCAUUUCAUGAUUUAUUCUUUUUCAUCUUUUCACAGAGAACUAUUCUGAAAGCCCAGUGCUUAUCAGAUAUAUGCAAAAAGAAGCUGUAACUGUGAACUAAUCUAGAACAGAACACUCCCCUCCUUCUUACCUGUAUGCAUUCCCAAUUGAACACCAGACCCCUUCAGUACUCCCCCAUAAAUGGUGGUUCCCUCCUCACCAACAUUUCUGCCCUUAUUUCCAAUGUCAUUGUCUGAUUGUUCCCUGUUGUUCUACCACAUCUUUCCUUUCACUUGUUUCAUAUCACCUACUUCUGUUCACAGUAUGUGGAACAGAUGCUUUUGAUUUUAUUACAUGUGCAUACCCGAUAAACCUUUUUAUGUGCAUGUUGCCUGUGGGGGUGGGGGGUUACCACUUGACCCCCCCCCCCCCUUUCACAGCAGAACAAGAUUGCAGGACUGUGAGGUAAAAUAAUGUAGCAUAUUCGUUUUAGAUCAGUAGCAAACACUGGUCACUUUAGGGGAAUAAGAGGAAAACAUAACGGUCCUGAAUGUUUACCGGGCCUGAAGUCAGGACCAUAUAAGCACUCAGCUGGAGUUCAGAGUCUCUGGCUUUCAGUGGCAGAGACAUAGAAACAGGCUACUGGAUGUUUCCUGUUCCGCAGGGAACAUAAACUCGCCAUAGCCAGCAUAAGGACUAGGGGGUGCUGAUGAUGAGUCUAUUACUGGUUUCAGCAGUGCAUGUUGCCUCGCAUACUACUGGAAUGUUUAGAACUGCAUCCUUGUGCAUCUUGUGAUUUUUGUGUAUGCAUAUAGUAUAUCUCCCUGGCAGGAGGAGACAACUGUUCACCUCAUCAUAAGUUCUGAAGAGGACUCAGAGGAGAGAGAAGGUCUGUGUCUUCUUAGAUCGAGCUUGAAUGCUAGGAUUGACGUUGCUGCUAGGAAAUGAUGUGCAUAAUUGAUUGCUAGACAGAAGCCAGAACCUUUGUCAACAGUGAGAAGAGAGAAUGCAGUUUGGAUUGGCAAAUUGAACUACAUUACCCACACUCCUCUCUGUCUCUUGUUCGCCUGUAUUCCUCCUUGUCACAACUCAGGUAUAUAUCUCUCUUUGUUGGUCUUUAUCAGUGCUUCCAAAAUGAUGUCAUUCAGAAUAAAGUAAGAGAGAGCUAGAGAGCGAUUGAGUGAAUGAUCAAUGGAAUUUCCUGUCUUAGCAUGCGUACUUAGAAAUAUGAAUGUAGUCCGUUUUGUUUUUGUCCUCGUCACAAGUCUUCCUUUCCUACAGUGUCUGUGUGCUUUUUCUUAUCUCAUCCUUUGCCACAACUCUCUCUCCAUUACCUUACAAACAGACCUACUGUCAUUUUGCUUUGCUUUUAUUUUGUUGAUUUUAUUACAAUCUCAACUGCUUCCAAAUGACAAAAAAAAAAACAUUUAAAAAACUGUCCCGGAUGACAAUUUUUUAAAGCAACGAAGCAUUUGUCAAAGCUUCAGUAUGAUGCGCCCUAAGUGGAUUACAAACAUCACACAUGGAAACAGGACUGAACCCAUGAAAGAGUGAAAGACAGACGGACAGAUUGUAUGCAUGGGGAAAACGAGUGGGAGAACUGUGUGUGUUUAAAAUAACAAAGAGGAUGGUCAUCAAAAAUGAAGAAAGGCACCGAGAGAUGGAGGACGGUUUGAGGAAGAAGAAAAAGAAAGAAAAGAGGGAGCAGGAAGGAAGCAGAUCGUCUCAGUUGCUGAGUUUCUGAACUGACCUCUUUCUCUCUAAGGAUGGACACCCCACCCCCACCCCAGCAUAAUAAAUCCACAGACCAACAUCAGAGUCACCAGUAGACUAAGAAAAUACACGGGGUAAACAGAGAGAGAAAAGGAGGAAUGAGAAAGGAUGUGUGUUCUGUGGUGCUGAUAAGACCUGAAGCAAAAAGGGAUCACUCAGUUCUCCAAUCAUAGGCACUACUCUUGACUGGAUCGCCAAAGCACAGACUCACUACAUGCGGAGGAUGUGGGACCUCCCAACCCCUUCCAAGCUGGAUCUCUGUUUGAUGCCCACAUGCAUGUACUCAUGUGCAUGCAUAUCAACACACACUCACUUUACAUUUCAAUAACUCUACCCAGCCUUGGCAACCAAGACAACACUGGGUAGAACCCAUUUUAAAUAGAUCACUAUAUGUGAUAUUAUAUUUUUAAGGUUAGUGAGUGGAAACAUUUUCAUGCUCUCUUGUGUGUGCUUUAACUUAUUGGGUCCAUCUGGUCUCUUUGCAAAUACUCUUUGAAACAUCCCAGAGAAAUCAUCUCUUCACCAGUCCCACAGGUGUAAGCUAGAGAUUUAAACUCAGAAAACAGGGGAUUUCUCUUCCUUUGGGCUCUAAACAAUUUUAAGCGCAACAAAUUGCAUGGAUAUAUCCCCAUGCUUGACUCAACUCUAUGCAAUUCAGCCACAUGCCAUUUAAAAAGCCAAACUAGAAGACUGCAGUCAACUCCAUCCUCUCCCCAGAAGGGAGCCUCAUUCUACUCAUGAUCCAAUGACAAUGGCCUGCCUGGAGCCUCCACUUCCACCACCCGCGACUACUGGAGCCUCCAUUUACACCACCCACCACUUCUGAAGCCUCCAAUUACACCACCCACCACUACUGAAGCCUCCACUUACACCACCCGUCUUUUCACCCAAACUAGUCUGGAUCCCUCUUGUACUACAUAUCAGAGAAGAACAAUCUGGCACACAAACUCAGAUCAAGCUGACAAAAUCCUCAAAAUCUGAGGGUCAAGUUCAUCAUGUCCUUUUUAUGAACCUGUAGAUGUGGGACUACGAGCACUACAGAGGGAAAGAUGUGUAGCCCCUCUUUCAGUCUUUCUACUCAUUCUUUCUCUCUCUCUAUUUCCAGCUCUCCCAACCCACGUUCCCAAACACCCAGAAAUCUCAGUGUUUCUCCUCCUAUGUAGAUGAACUGCAUGGCAUGAAAGAAAUGAAAAAAAAACAAACAACAACAACAAUUAAAAAAACAUCACGAGAAAGAACACAGAGGUUGGGUUGGAGAAACCAUUGGGGUGUUUAUCAAAGGGUUGGAGGGUACAGAUGACAACACAUCCCUUGUGUGUCAAGCCCCUCUGAACGAGGCCUGUCUGUGGAGUGGAGCAGAUGGUGCACAUCUUCCACCUUUACCUGGGGAAGUGGAGAAGAGGACCAGGGCUUGUCCCACAUUGAGAAAAUGUACACGAAGCCUGCAGAAGGACCAGGAGAGGGGCGCAGCUCCAAGAAGGCUGGGUGAACUUUGAACUUGACAAUUAAGGAAAAAAAGAAUGAGAAAUGAAAAUGCAUUUUCUGACUUUGUUUACCAGCAUGACUAAAUUGCAUGAUUCUACUGUAAGUUCUGAUUCCCAGGAGAGGGCUUGGAAUUAUUAAAAACAUGGGAACACAAUAUAGAUUUAUGUUAUAUGCAGCUAAAUUUAGAAAAAGAAAAAGAGAUAAUUAUAUUUAAAAAAAAAAGAUGUUCUAUUAUUUUUUAUAAAAAGAUUAAUGAAAAAAAUAUGAUUGCAAGAUACAUUCAGAACUAUGCUUUAUCAGAUAUGAUACCCCCAGUCAAUUCUAGACAGUCAGUCAGACCAACUACCCCUGCAAGUGCAACCACUAUAACGAGCUGUUUCAAAUGGAAUUCCAACUUCUCACUCCCUUUCCCCACUCUUUGCCCCAGCACUCUCUGUUCUCCUGCUGCCACCUGCAGUCUCUGCAGGGCAUUGCACCCACCUGUGCUCCAUCGCUCUCUGGUGUCCUCUGUGAUGGCAGUGCAGUGGAGGGCAUGCAGUGCACACUGGGUCACUCGGUCCUAGUGCUAGGGUGUUGGCUCCCAUUGAUGCUUUCCCACUGCUACAAGGGUUCUGAGCUGAGAGCUUUAUCAGUGAACCUCCAGUCAAUGGUUUGUAAUUAUAUACCAUUUUCAUUAUGUCUAUGGUGAGGCACAGGGGAAACAAAUGGCCUUUUGAAUGUUCUUUCUAUCCAUAAGUCAUGGUUUAAAGUUCUUUUUCUUUUGGUGUUCAACAUUUUUGUCUUCUGCUUCAGCUUUUGGGGGUGUAGGUGCUGCUUGAUAGGAAGCAGUGAAGCAGUGCUGAAGCAGUCAUCUCAGUCCAGAGCUGGUCUGGAGAACACACUCAUAGAAGCAGUAGAGUAAUAAUGGACAUCAUCAAAGUCUGAUGUCUAGUAGAAAUGCCAUGUUACCAAUACUAGGAUUAUUAUUGUUACUAUUUUUUUUACUGUCACUUAAUUUUAAAGUCAUUUUCACCAUAGUUAAUUAAGCUCUUUGAAUGCAUAAUAUUGACCACAAACACUCAGUGCUUAUUGAGCUGUUUUAUGAUUUCCUGAUCUAAAUGCAAUUUGAGAUCAGCUUUGUCAUAUUUGUUUUAGGAUUAGUUUAAUAAGGUAAUAUGUCAGGUAAAAUGUUUCAGUGCACUUAAAGAGGUCUAUAUGUGAUAAAGGCCACCAAAUCCUUCAAUGCACCAUGACGGCUCAAAUUGAAUCAAAAGCUGGAAAAAGGUGCUUUUUGAGUCUUCCUUAUUAACUCCAAGGGUUAAGGCCAAGUUCCAUGCAGGUAGGGAUAUGUCUCCAUGUAAUGGAUACCACAUCUUGCACGUUUAUGGCUUAAAAAAGUGAAAGGAUGAAGCUGAAGAUAUGUGAUCGUUUACAGAAUUCUGUGUUUGGUUUAACUUCUCUCUAGGUGGAAUGUUCCUCUUUGUAAUUCUUUUUUUACAUUGACAGUGAACGAUCAUCCAUUGCGAACACUACAUGGACAAUACAUUUCAGUACAGAGUAAUGUGUUCUUCUCAGUCACCCCAUUCCUCACGUUUUAAUUCAUUCUCUGCUCUCCUAAAGAUUUGCACUGAUGAUAUAGCAUAGAGACUGGAACAGAACACUGGGCAUUACAGACAAGCCACGGGGGAAUCAGUUCAAUUCUUCCUACUAAAGUCAGAGCAGAGCACAGAUGUUGGAAUUGGUUUGUGUGUUUUUACAGUUGAGCUUGUCAUAACUUUUUCUCUGAGAAUCUGUGCGUGCUUUACCAUCUCUAGGAUCAGGAUAUAAUCAACAGAGUUGAGUUACUAGUGCACCUGUGCAAGGAUACUGCAAGUCACGCCACUCACCCAGGCUGCUUUCUUAGGCUGCUUGGCUGUUGGCUGUGUUGGUGCUGCAGGAUAGAGGCCAGCAGAAGAAGGCAGAUUUGGCCAAAAGGGGCGAGAGCAGAGAGGCUGGUACUGCUCCUGAUGUAAGCAGUAGGCCUGCUGUGGUAGAGGAAGUGGGCCAGCGGAGUGCUGGUUCCAGCUGAGCGCGUUCCUCCUCUGCUGAGCUCUCUUCACAUUCCUAUUCCUUCAGGCCCACUGAGAGCUCUCUAGAAUUUCUUCUGCUUCUCAAGUCCAUGCAGGAAGGUGACUGAGGGAACAGAAGAUUUGACAGAAAUUUGUGCACAUGGAAACCACCUAUUGAUGUGUGUGGUUUUUUUGGGGGGGGUUUUUUUUUGUUUUAUCAGCGCGUGUUGACACGUGUGUGUCACUGUUGGAGGUGAUUAAACCCACCGGCUGAGGGAAGGCAUGGGGGCACUGCUCAGAGAGGCUAGCGCCUCUUAGGAAAGCCAUCAUAUAGUGAAAACAUUUUGACCAUGGUUUUUUUUUGUUGUUGACGAUGCUGUUAGAGCAAUAAUUUGGUGCAAUCUGACCUUGCUCUUGGUGUCUCUAUUUAGUGUCACUCCUAGAAGUGAGUGAAGAUCUUGUGAUUGAGCAUAAAUGCCAUGUGAGGCUGGCUGGCAGAAUGAGCUGUUUUCCUGCUAGGCUCUUUGUUUCUGCUUGGAGGUACAGAUUGAGACCACACCCCCUAGAAUGAGUGAUUAGUCCAUGCUUGCAUAACCUUACUUGAAACUCAAAUAUGUGACAUAUCAGAGAGGUUCAGAACAAAGCCUAAAUUGGUCUUCACUUUUCUCUUUACUGAAUCCUUUUCUCCUCUUCCCUCUUCUGCUCCCUGUCCUUGACUAUUUUUGAGAAAGAAUCUCUUCUGCAUCCCUUGCUUUUGUGUUUUUAAUCAUAUUGUUUGAAGUUGAAUUAUACUGCAUGCAUGGGAUAAAAAAGGACACUUUAACCUAUUUAUGACUGAAUGGUGGUGGCCAUCUUUUCCUCCUGGUCUCUCUCACUCCACUUUCGCUGAGGAGGAAUAAAGUGGCCACAAGGACAAGUUGAUUAUUUUACAGAAUGCUUCACUUGUGUUAUUAUUUAGAUCUGGUUGUUUACCACCAGAAAGUUGGCCCUUGCUAUCCAUAAUUUUGCUCUAGCCAGCAAAGAAUUUAAAGAAUUUAAAACUUCUACAGUGGAGAGUGGGAUUUUUUGACAAAGGUGGUGGACACUCAUACCUGUUACAUAAACUCAUUGAGAACUUUGAUGAAUCCAAACUGGAAUACGUUUCAUUACAUAUUUAUUUUACAUUGCACUUUGGAUUUGGUUGACUGUUAUAGCUGUACUAUUUUCAAAAAAUGUUUAAUUUAUGCAUUUAAUAUUGAUUUUAAAUUAAUGUUUAGCACUUUUAUAUUGAGAGAGUUCAAUGUACCACUGUUACUAAGUAACUGAAAUAUCUGUACUAUUGCAGCUCUUAAUUACACUGUUAAUGACACACUCCAAUCCAACAACCCUUGUGUUUACCAUCCCACUUCUCCUGACAGAGAGGGCAAAGAGAGAACAGAGAGAGAAACACUAGGUGGUUUAUGCUAUUAAGACAGAUGCUGGACAUAAUUUUAAUGUCAUUAAAAGUUAAAAAAAAAAAAAAAAAAAAAA